GGGGGAUGCUAAGAUGGGAGAGACACUGUGAGGUCGGGGUACUGCUGCAAAAUAAGGGCACAGAUCAAAGAGAGGAAACCAGAGAGGGAGAAUAUGUUGGCAUCAUCGUGGAUAGACUUGUUUACUGUUAUGGUAGCAUCCAGGACAUUCUGAAUUGGUGAGUCUGCAGCUCUAGGCCAUCUAAUGGCCACUUCAACCUUAAUUUCAAGGCUUUGGUGCUGUGAGGACCUCCAAGGGAAGCCAAGGAUGUGGAGCAGUGACUUCAAUCCUCAGCCAUCAUUUAUGUUAUCAGUCAUCCUCAAAUCCCAGCACAAACAACACUACAGGGGCAGAAGCACAGCCGA
rnacentral:lncRNA from 1 species